GGAGUACUCCCUCCGUUCGGAAUUACUUGUCUCGAAAAUAGAUGUAUUUAAAACUAAAAUACAUCUAGAUACAUCCAUUUCUCUGACAAGUAAUUCCGAACGGAGGGAGUAGAUU
rnacentral:pre_miRNA from 1 species